ensembl:misc_RNA 7SK 7SK RNA
AGAUGUGAGGUUAAUCUGGCUGUUGCAUCUAUCACCCCAUAGAUCUCUGAGAUUGAUUUUCUGGUCUAGAGGGGUAGAUGGGUUUCCUAUUCCUCAUAUACCUCCAUGUGUGUUCCUCCCAAAGCUGCAUGCUAGGUCAAAAAGGACGACCAUCUCUGACAGAGGAGGAAGAUACUUUAGUCAAGGGUACACAGGUAACUCUACUCCCCUCCUAUAAACUCCAAGCAAUCUCUCAAGGUCAUCGUUUGCUAAAAACAACAAAUUGUACAGUCUGCAAUAAUAAAUUAGCUCUUUUUAUGUGGAAACAAUAAAAACAAC